rnacentral:rRNA from 1 species
UAUGUGAUCGUCUCUCGCAUAUCAAUAAGCGGAGGAAAAGAAACUAACAAGGAUUCCCCUAGUAACGGCGAGUGAAGCGGGAAGAGCUCAAAUUUGAAAUCUUAAAGGGUUUCCCUUUACGAAUUGUAGUUUAAAGAAGUGUUUUCUGUUGAGGUUUUGGUAAAAGUUCUUUGGAAUAGGACAUCAUAGAGGGUGAGAAUCCCGUAUUUGACCUUUACUUUCAACUUUGUGAUACACUUUCAAAGAGUCGGAUUGUUUGGGAAUGCAGUCCAAAAUGGGUGGUAAAUUUCAUCUAAAGCUAAAUAUUGGCGAGAGACCGAUAGCGAACAAGUACCGUGAGGGAAAGAUGAAAAGAACUUUGAAAAGAGAGUUAAACAGUACGUGAAAUUGUCAAAAGGGAAGCGUUUGACACCAGUGUUGUUUUUCUGAAAAUCAAUUAAAGAACUGUUUAUGCUAAGUUGUUUAGACUUUAUCAGCUAUCUGUUUAGUUUUGAGCUUUUCUUUAAUGCACUUUUCAGUUAACAAGUCAACAUCAAUUUCUUUUGCUGUAAAAAAGCUUGAGGAAGGUGGCUUGAGAUUCGUCUUAAGUGUUUAUAGCCUCUUGCCUAUGCAGUCGGAUGAGAUUGAGGUCUGCAGCGUAGAUCCUUCGGGGCUAAAUGCAUUUGUGCUAAGUUAUAGCAUUUUAUAGACAACUUGUUGACUAUGAUUUGUCUUGUAGCUUACUCGCUUAUGUUAUUUUACCUACGCUUAGGAUGUUGACACACGCGCGUGCUCG